AUGUGCAUUGCAAAGUCACAGGGAGGAAUGGGAUUCCGAGACCUGGAAACGUUUAAUGACGCGCUGUUAGCAAAGCAAGCAUGGAGAUUACUUAAGAACCCAUCUAGCUUGUGUGCACGUGUGCUUAAAGCACAAUACUUCCCUAAUGAGGAGUUUUUAACGGCGGGCUGUCCAACUAGUGCAUCCAAGACAUGGAAAGCAAUUAUAAAAGGAAGAGAGAUGCUAAAGAAGGGACUCAUCCGGAGAAUUGGUAAUGGAGAGACCAUUGGGCAGAUGGCACCAUAUCAAUGA
rnacentral:rRNA from 1 species